rnacentral:rRNA from 1 species
GAUGAACGCUAGCUACAGGCUUAACACAUGCAAGUCGAGGGGCAGCAUGGUCUUAGCUUGCUAAGGCCGAUGGCGACCGGCGCACGGGUGAGUAACACGUAUCCAACCUGCCGUCUACUCUUGGACAGCCUUCUGAAAGGAAGAUUAAUACAAGAUGGCAUCAUGAGUCCACAUGUUCACAUGAUUAAAGGUAUUCCGGUAGACGAUGGGGAUGCGUUCCAUUAGAUAGUAGGCGGGGUAACGGCCCACCUAGUCUUCGAUGGAUAGGGGUUCUGAGAGGAAGGUCCCCCACAUUGGAACUGAGACACGGUCCAAACUCCUACGGGAGGCAGCAGUGAGGAAUAUUGGUCAAUGGGCGAGAGCCUGAACCAGCCAAGUAGCGUGAAGGAUGACUGCCCUAUGGGUCGUAAACUUCUUUUAUAAAGGAAUAAAGUCGGGUAUGGAUACCCGUUUGCAUGUACUUUAUGAAUAAGGAUCGGCUAACUCCGUGCCAGCAGCCGUGGUAAUACGGAGGAUCCGAGCGUUAUCCGGAUUUAUUGGGUUUAAAGGGAGCGUAGAUGGAUGUUUAAGUCAGUUGUGAAAGUUUGCGGCUCAACCGUAAAAUUGCAGUUGAUACUGGAUAUCUUGAGUGCAGUUGAGGCAGGCGGAAUUCGUGGUGUAGCGGUGAAAUGCUUAGAUAUCACGAAGAACUCCGAUUGCGAAGGCAGCCUGCUAAGCUGCAACUGACAUUGAGGCUCGAAAGUGUGGGUAUCAAACAGG